rnacentral:lncRNA from 1 species
CCUAUCUUCAUCCCAGUUUCAGUCAAGACAAAGAUAAAACCAAUUUACAGCUGCUGCAAUAGCCAUCACUGAACUGCUUGCAGAACUUGCCUGGACUGUGUAUCACUUGUAUGCAUUGUGAACUCACUUGUAUGCAUUGUGAACUAUCUGUUGGUGCAGCGACUUGUGGUAGCGUUGGGGUAUUUUUGCUGAUGGUGUUAUCAGUGAUACCAUUUUUCCAAAAGGUGCCAUCACUGAACUACUUGCAGAACUUGCCUGGACUAUAUAUCACUUGUAUGCAUUGUGAACUCACUUGUAUGCAUUGUGAACUAUCUGUUGGUGCAGCGACUUGUGGUAGUGUUGGGGUAUUUUUGCUGAUGGUGUCAUCGGUGGUACAAUUUUUCCAAAAAGAGCCGUCAAUUGGCUUGGCGUAUCUUCCUCCCUUCUGCUUGUCAUGGUCGUUCAGCUAAAAUUUGGGGGCCAACAGAGGUGAGGCAAAGAACCUCACCCCCCCCCCCGCUGGUACAAAGACCUAUCCACAGGUGUGGCUGUAUGCUGAACUGGUAGUCAAUGACGGGUAAGAUCCAAUUGCAAUGGUACCAACCUAAGACAGGAGGCUGACGCCUUGAGGUCAGCUCAUCCGUUAAUGGGUAAGGACCAUAUGUACUAUUGGACAACCUAAGGCAGGCACGGUCUCUAAGCCACAUGCUGUUGUUUAAACAGAGAGGGGGAGAUGUUGAGAGCCACAGCCGAAGGGGCCCAAGCAAACUUCCAGCUGCCAGCAAACUUCCAGCUGCCAGCUGAUGAUUGGCUCACAGCAGCCCCAGCAAAUCUC